rnacentral:rRNA from 1 species
AGUGAACGCUGGCGGUAGGCCUAACACAUGCAAGUCGAACGGCAGCACAGGAGAGCUUGCUCUCUGGGUGGCGAGUGGCGGACGGGUGAGGAAUACAUCGGAAUCUACUUUUUCGUGGGGGAUAACGUAGGGAAACUUACGCUAAUACCGCAUACGACCUACGGGUGAAAGCAGGGGAUCUUCGGACCUUGCGCGAUUGAAUGAGCCGAUGUCGGAUUAGCUAGUUGGCGGGGUAAAGGCCCACCAAGGCGACGAUCCGUAGCUGGUCUGAGGGGAUGAUCAGCCACACUGGAACUGAGACACGGUCCAGACUCCUACGGGAGGCAGCAGUGGGGAAUAUUGGACAAUGGGCGCAAGCCUGAUCCAGCCAUACCGCGUGGGUGAAGGAGGCCUUCGGGUUGUAAAGCCCUUUUGUUGGGAAAGAAAUCCAGCUGGUUAAUACCCGGUUGGGAUGACGGUACCCAAAGAAUAAGCACCGGCUAACUUCGUGCCAGCCGCCGCGGUAA